UACAGAGGUCUCAAGCGUUGUUCGGAUUCAUUGGGCGUAAAGGGUGUGUAGGUGGCGCGCUAAGUCGGGUGUGAAAUUUCGGAGCUUAACUCCGAAACUGCAUUCGAUACUGGCGUGCUUGAGGACUGGAGAGGAGACUGGAAUUCAUGGUGUAGCAGUGAAAUGCGUAGAUAUUGGGAGGAACACCAGUGGCGAAGGCGGCUCACUGGACCGGUACUGACGCUGAUGCGCGAAAGCGUGGGGAGCAAACGGG
rnacentral:rRNA from 1 species